rnacentral:rRNA from 1 species
UGCAGUCGAGCGGACCGAAUGGGAGCUUGCUUUCGUUCGGUUAGCGGCGGACGGGUGAGUAACACGUGGGCAACCUGCCCGUAAGACCGGGAUAACUUCGGGAAACCGGAGCUAAUACCGGAUAACACCGAAGAUCGCAUGAUCUUUGGUUGAAAGGCGGCUUUGGCUGUCACUUACGGAUGGGCCCGCGGCGCAUUAGCUAGUUGGUGAGGUAACGGCUCACCAAGGCGACGAUGCGUAGCCGACCUGAGAGGGUGAUCGGCCACACUGGGACUGAGACACGGCCCAGACUCCUACGGGAGGCAGCAGUAGAGAAUCUUCCGCAAUGGACGAAAGUCUGACGGAGCAACGCCGCGUGAGCGAAGAAGGUCCUCGGAUUGUAAAGCUCUGUUGUUAGGGAAGAACAAGUACCGUUCGAAGAGGGCGGUACCGUGACGGUACCUAACGAGAAAGCCACGGCUAACUACGUGCCAGCAGCCGCGGUAAUACGUAGGUGGCAAGCGUUGUCCGGAAUUAUUGGGCGUAAAGCGCGCGCAGGCGGUUCCUUAAGUCUGAUGUGAAAGCCCACGGCUCAACCGUGGAGGGUCAUUGGAAACUGGGGGAUUUGAGUGCAGAAGAGAGAGCGGAAUUCCACGUGUAGCGGUGAAAUGCGUAGAGAUGUG